ensembl:lncRNA
GACCCUGAAAAGGAUAAGCGGAAGCGAAUGGAUGGAUGGAUGAACCUUUAUUCUUCUUCACAGGCUGAACUCUCUCAGGCAAGUUUUCUUGUAAAUUUGUUAAGUAGUACUCAGGAAUAAUUUUCCAGGUUUCUUGAAGGACAUUUCAAAUCCGUCUUUGGAUGGUGGCCGCCUUUUGUUCUGUUCUCUAUCAAGAUCAUCCAACACUGCUUGAAUAAUGUUGGGAUCUAGGGUGGGCAGUCCAUGACUGAUAGCGUUCCACUGGCUGUUUUUUAAUCCAGUAAUCGAAUUGCCUGUGGAAUAAAGCCAAGAAUUCUGUUUGUUUUGCAAGCUGGAGAUUUCCUCCUCCUGCAGGAGUCAUCACAAACUCGUUAUGGGUGCAGAAACACAAGAUGUAAUGCACCUUUGUACCAUCAGUAACAUCUCAGCGAACCCCCAAAUACGCUUCAGACAGUUUCAAAAUAUUCAUACGUUUUCCCACCCUCAACAGUACGAGGAGACACUGGAAAAGAAAAAAGAGAGCGCUUGAGCCCGACACAGAGGUACUUUACAGAGAUGAGAAGCUU